AGUGAACGCUGGCGGUAGGCCUAACACAUGCAAGUCGAACGGCAGCACAGUAAGAGCUUGCUCUUACGGGUAGCGAGUGGCGGACGGGUGAGGAAUACAUCGGAAUCUACUUUUUCGUGGGGGAUAACGUAGGGAAACUUACGCUAAUACCGCAUACGACCUACGGGUGAAAGCAGGGGAUCUUCGGACCUUGCGCGAUUGAAUGAGCCGAUGUCGGAUUAGCUAGUUGGCGGGGUAAAGGCCCACCAAGGCGACGAUCCGUAGCUGGUCUGAGAGGAUGAUCAGCCACACUGGAACUGAGACACGGUCCAGACCCCUACGGGAGGCAGCAGUGGGGAAUAUUGGACAAUGGGCGCAAGCCUGAUCCAGCCAUACCGCGUGGGUGAAGAAGGCCUUCGGGUUGUAAAGCCCUUUUGUUGGGAAAGAAAAGCAGCAGGUUAAUACCCCGCUGUUCUGACGGUACCCAAAGAAUAAGCACCGGCUAACUUCGUG
rnacentral:rRNA from 1 species